UCUUUUUUUUCUAUUUUGUAACGAGGCUUUGAACACCCUUAGUGAUCAUGCCGCUAGCUGGUGUCAAGGUCGCUAUUCAACCCCCAACGACAUGGCUCAUGUAACAACAACCUACAUACUUAAGUAAUUAGUAGCCGGGAUCAACGUGAAAUGAAAUGAAAUUUAUUGUCAUAAAUGUGCUGAUAUGCCUCCACAACAGCAAGAGCGGAGGGGUGUAGUUUGGGAGCGAGUUCUGUCGGCGGUUCUUGCAACAACGCUUGCACCUCUUCAGUGGAGCGGUUCAGCAUCACGGCCAGGGUGGACACACUGGCUGUGAGGGCCUCCUCGAACCCGCAUUCUGCUAGGUAGCCCACUGCCAUCUGUCGGGUAAAGAUAGAAGCGAUGCCCUGCUUGCCUAUAGUCGCAGCUUUACUCGCGACCUGCGCCAGCGCUUGCGGGUUGUGCGGCACCCCGGCCGCCUCCCCGCGCCGCAGCCGCUGCAGCGCCUCCGAGACCGUC